rnacentral:snoRNA from 1 species
GCCUGGUGGUUUCAAGCGACAGCUGAUCUGUGUGUCUUUGAUUGACAGGCACAAAUAAACUCAGAUUCUAUGCAUGGGAGCUGCCACUUCAAGUAGCCUCCAUAGCCUGGUUGCAGUGACAUCA